UAUGGGGGGAGCAAGCGUUGUUCGGAUUUACUGGGCGUAAAGGGCGCGUAGGCGGCCACUGCAAGUCGGUUGUGAAAUCUCCGGGCUUAACCCGGAAAGGUCAAUCGAUACUGCAGGGCUAGAGUGCGGAAGGGGCAACUGGAAUUCUCGGUGUAGCGGUGAAAUGCGUAGAUAUCGAGAGGAACACCUGCGGCGAAGGCGGGUUGCUGGGCCGACACUGACGCUGACAGCGCGAAAGCUAGGGGAGCGAACGGG
rnacentral:rRNA from 1 species